UACGUAGGGUGCAAGCGUUGUCCGGAAUUAUUGGGCGUAAAGAGCUUGUAGGCGGUUUGUCGCGUCUGCUGUGAAAUUUCGGGGCUCAACCCCGAACUUGCAGUGGGUACGGGCAGACUAGAGUGUGGUAGGGGAGACUGGAAUUCCUGGUGUAGCGGUGAAAUGCGCAGAUAUCAGGAAGAACACCAACAGCGAAGGCAGCGCUCUGGGCCGGUACUGACGCUGAGGAGCGAAAGCAUGGGGAGCGAACAGG
rnacentral:rRNA from 1 species